ACUACGAAUACCAAAUGUGUAAGAACAAGAGUCAGACUGCGGGAGCUAAGUUCCGUGGUCAAAAGGGAAAGAGCCCAGAUCGUCAAUUAAGGUCCCAAAGAUAUAGUUAAGUGGAAAACGAUGUGAUUUUGCGUAAACAACCAGGAUGUUGGCUUAGAAGCAGCCAUUCAUUCAAAGAGUGCGUAAUAGCUCACUGGUCGAGUGAAGUUGCGCGGAAAAUUACCGGGGCUAAACUAUACACCGAAAUUGCGGAUUUGCAUAGAAAUAUGUAAGUGGUAGAGGAGCAUUCUAUAGUAGGACGAAGCAUAAUCGAAAGGAUAUGUGGACGAGAUAGAAGAGAGAAUGCCGGAAUAAGUAGCGAAAGCAUGGUGAGAAUCCAUGCCAUCGAAAGUCUAAGGUUUCCUGGGGAAGGUUCGUCCGCCCAGGGUAAGUCGGGACCUAAGGAGAGGCCGAAAAGCGUAUCCGAUGGACAGCAGGUAGAAAUUCCUGCACUACGUAAUACUUAAAAGACAUAAAUGACACAGGAGUGGAAGAUAAGCGAGGAAGAGGAAAAACUCGUAUCGAAAGAUAUAGUGAAAUUAAAGUAACGAAUUAUCAAGAAGCUAAUGGCGAGAAAAGUUUAUGGAUAUUGUAUUAAGUACCCGUACCGCAAACCGACACAGGUAGAUGAGGAGAAGAUCCUAAGAUGAGCGAGAGAAGCAUUGUUAAGGAACUCGGCAAACUGACCCCGUAACUUCGGAAUAAGGGGUGCUGGAGUAGAAUCCAGUCGCAGAGAAUAGUCCCAAGCAACUGUUUAACAAAAACACAGGUUUCUGCUAAAUCGAAAGAUGAAGUAUAGGAGCUGACACCUGCCCAGUGCUGGAAGGUUAAGGGAAAGAGUUAGGAGUAAUCCGAAGCUUAGAACUAAAGCCCCAGUGAACGGCGGCCGUAACUAUAACGGUCCUAAGGUAGCGAAAUUCCUUGUCAGGUAAGUUCUGACCCGCACGAAAGGUGUAAUGAUUUGGGAGCUGUCUCGACAAUGUACUCGGCGAAAUUGUAGUACUAGUGAAGAUGCUAGUUACCUGCGACAAGACAGAAAGACCCCAUGGAGCUUUACUGCAGCUUGAUACUGGGUUUCGGUAAUUUAUGUACAGGAUAGGUGGGAUGCUAAGAAGUAUGUGCGCCAGCGCAUAUGGAGCAGACGUUGGGAUACCACCCUUAAAUUACUGGAAUUCUAACUAUAAGUCCUAAGCGGGCUUGAGGACAAUGUCAGGCGGGCAGUUUGACUGGGGCGGUCGCCUCCUAAAGAGUAACGGAGGCGCGCAAAGGUUUCCUCAGCGCGGACAGAAAUCGCGCGAAAGAGUGCAAAGGCAGAAGGAAGCUUAACUGAGAGACAGACAUGUCGACCAGAUACGAAAGUAGGUCUUAGUGAUCCGGUGGUUGUAAGUGGAAAUGCCAUCGCUCAACGGACAAAAGUUACCCUGGGGAUAACAGGCUUAUCUCCCCCAAGAGUUCACAUCGACGGGGAGGUUUGGCACCUCGAUGUCGGCUCAUCACAUCCUGGAGCGGAAGUACGUUCCAAGGGUUGGGCUGUUCGCCCAUUAAAGUGGUACGCGAGCUGGGUUCAGAACGUCGUGAGACAGUUCGGUCCUUAUCUGUCGCAGGCGAAGGAUAUUUGAAGGGAGUUGACCUUAGUACGAGAGGACCAGGUUGAAGGAACCGAUGGUGCACCAGUUGUACUACCAAGUGCAUAGCUGGAUAGCUAAGUUCCGAAGGGAUAAACGCUGAAAGCAUCUAAGUGUGAAGCCCACCCUAAGAUAAGAUAUCCCAUAUCGAAAGAUAGU
rnacentral:rRNA from 1 species